AUGUAUGGACGGGAUAAGUGCUGAAAGCAUCUAAGCAUGAAGCCCCCCUCAAGAUGAGAUUUCCCAACUUCGGUUAUAAGAUCCCUCAGAGAUGAUGAGGUUAAUAGGUUCGAGGUGGAAGCGUGGUAACACGUGGAGCUGACGAAUACUAAUCGAUCGAAGACUUAAUCAAUUU
rnacentral:rRNA from 1 species